CCUACGGGUGGCAGCAGUGGGGAAUUUUGGACAAUGGGGGCAACCCUGAUCCAGCGACGCCGCGUGAAGGAUGAAGGUCUUCGGAUUGUAAACUUCUUUUGAUGGGGAUGCAGUACCCGUUGAAUAAGCCACGGCUAACUACGUGCCAGCAGCCGCGGUAAUACGUAGGUGGCAAGCGAUACUCGGAAUCACUAGGCGUAAAGCGCAGGUAGGCGGUUCGGUAAGUCUUUUGUGAAAGCUCCCGGCUUAACUGGGAGAGGCCAAGGGAAACUACUGAGCUAGAGUGUGGUAGGGGAUACUGGAAUUCCUGGUGUAGCGGUGAAAUGCGUAGAUAUCAGGAGGAAUACCUAUGGCGAAAGCAGGUAUCUGGGCCAUACUGACGCUGAGCUGCGAAAGCUAGGGGAGCAAACAGGAUUAGAUACCCUUGUAGUC
rnacentral:rRNA from 1 species